UAGCCUAGCUGGAUAGGGCGUUAGACUCCUAAUCUAAAGACCGUGGGUUCAAAUCCCACCA
rnacentral:tRNA from 1 species